rnacentral:rRNA from 1 species
AGUGAACGCUGGCGGUAGGCCUAACACAUGCAAGUCGAACGGCAGCACAGUAAGAGCUUGCUCUUACGGGUGGCGAGUGGCGGACGGGUGAGGAAUACAUCGGAAUCUACUUUUUCGUGGGGGAUAACGUAGGGAAACUUACGCUAAUACCGCAUACGCCCUACGGGUGAAAGCAGGGGAUCUUCGGACCUUGCGCGAUUGAAUGAGCCGAUGUGGGAUUAGCUAGUUGGCGGGGUAAAGGCCUACCCAGGCGACGAUCCGUAGCUGGUCUGAGUGGAUGAUCAGCCACACUGGAACUGAGACACGGUCCAGACUCCUACGGGAGGCAGCAGUGUGGAAUAUUGGACAAUGGGCGCAAGCCUGAUCCAGCCAUACCGCGUGGGUGGAGAAGGCCUUCGGGUUGUAAAGCCCUUUUGUUGGGAAAGAAAAGCAGCAGGUUAAUACCCCGCUGUUCUGACGGUACCCAAAGAAUAAGCACCGGCUAACUUCGUG